UAGGGAAUCUUCCACAAUGGACGAAAGUCUGAUGGAGCAACGCCGCGUGAGUGAUGAAGGUUUUCGGAUCGUAAAACUCUGUUGUAAGGGAAGAACCAGUACGUCAGGCAAUGGACGUACCUUGACGGUACCUUAUUAGAAAGCCACGGCUAACUACGUGCCAGCAGCCGCGGUAAUACGUAGGUGGCAAGCGUUGUCCGGAAUUAUUGGGCGUAAAGCGCGCGCAGGUGGUUUCUUAAGUCUGAUGUGAAAGCCCACGGCUUAACCGUGGAGGGUCAUUGGAAACUGGGAGACUUGAGUGCAGAAGAGGAAAGUGGAAUUCCAAGUGUAGCGGUGAAAUGCGUAGAGAUUUGGAGGAACACCAGUGGCGAAGGCGACUUUCUGGUCUGCAACUGACGCUGAGGCGCGAAAGCAUGGGGAGCAAACAGGAUUAGAUACCCUGGUAGUCCAUGCUGUAAACGAUGAGUGCUAAGUGUUAGGGGGUUUCCGCCCCUUAGUGCUGCAGCUAACGCAUUAAGCACUCCGCCUGGGGAGUACGACCGCAAGGUUG
rnacentral:rRNA from 1 species